AUGCACCCACAAGGUGACCCGAGAGGCCUCUGGCUCCUGCUGCACUCCUUGUCCCUGCUGCUGUUUGAGGUGGCCAGAGAUGGCCCAGCCAUGGUUAGCUGUCCUGCCGCCGCCCCUCCUACAUCCUCGCCCCAGGCUCCAGCGGCAGCGACCGGCGCGCGCGCCAUGCUCGCUGCCGCCACGCCCCUCCCUCCGCUAGCAUCGCCGCGCUUCCGGCUCCCAGCAACGCUCCACGCCAGGCCUGCGGACCUGGAGGCUGCGGCCGUGGUCGGUGGGCUCCGGCGGGCUCAGCGUUUGAGGCGGCGGCGGGGGACUCUUCAUGAUGGUCUAACCUGGUUACAUGUCCUGGUUCCUUGGAAACCCUCACAUAAUCUAUGCUACUGUCAGAGUUAUCAAAUGGAGAUGUCCAAAAAUGACUACAUAUUAUGUAAGUUACAAUCUCAUGUGUCACUUACAGAGCUCGUGUGUCACAUCUGGGCUAGAUCAUUUCCUAGUAUGGAAGGAAGGCUCUUUGGGGACUGAUGGUGGUGAUGGUGGUGGUCUCAGCCUUGUUGUUGCUUUAUGUGUGCCUCGCAAUUGAUUUUAUUCUGGAGUACAAUAAUAUAAGUUAAUAAAAUUUGAUACUAGGUAAGAUUUAUGAUUCUCAAAAGGUUUAUUUGCAGCCUGUUCUUCUGUGUUGUCUCCAUUUCAGGUAAAUAUUCUCUUAUGCAAUUCCCUGAUGUUUCUUAAAACAGAGCUCAUGUCCUUUGCAGGAACAUGGAUGGAGUUGGAGGCCAGUGUUCUUAGCAAACCAGCUCAGGAACAGAAAACUGAAUACUGCAGGUUCUCACUUAUAGGUGGCAGCUAAAUAAUAAAAACACACCAACACAAAGAGGGGAACAAGAGACACUGGGGCUUACCUGAGGGUAAAGGGUGGGAAGAGGGAGAGGAGCAGAAAAAAUAACUAUUGGGUACUAGGUGUAGUACUGCAUGAUGAAAUAAUGCAUACAACCUGAGUUUAUAUAACACACUUCUACACAUAUUCCUGGACCUAAAAUAAAUUUUAUAAAAAUGAUGAGUGUUGGCCAAGUCAAACCAGAAUAACUCAGUGUGUAGGGUCAUGGUU
rnacentral:lncRNA from 1 species